GUGGGCGUAGCUCAAUCGGUUAGAGCACUGGACUGUGGCUCCAGAGGUUGUGGGUUCGAUUCCCAUCGCUCACCCCU
rnacentral:tRNA from 1 species